rnacentral:rRNA from 1 species
UACGUAGGGACCGAGCGUUGUCCGGAUUCAUUGGGCGUAAAGAGCUCGUAGGCGGCCACUCAAGUCGAAUGUGAAACCUCGAGGCUCAACCUCGAGCCUGCAUUCGAUACUGGGCGGCUAGAGUCUGGUAGGGGGAUCUGGAAUUCCUGGUGUAGCGGUGGAAUGCGCAGAUAUCAGGAGGAACACCGGUGGCGAAGGCGGAAUCCUGGGCCAGUACUGACGCUGAGGAGCGAAAGCGUGGGGAGCAAACAGG